ensembl:lncRNA
AAAAAGGGUUUUUGAGCUUUCCCUAGCACUUCCAGUAUAGUUUUGCAUGACCCUUCUUCAGAUUCUCCUUUCUAAAACAUAAUUUACUUCUCAUCAUUUCCUUAUGAACACAUUUACUCAGUACUUUGCACUAACAUAAAGCUCAGGUUAACAAUUAACUGCUUAAUUAAUCCCUUCCAACUCCCCUGUAAAGUAGAUUAAAAUUAUAUCUUGUGCUUUGCAGCAGCUACUUGAGAUUUUUGGUUUUUCCAAAAAAUUGUUUACAGUUCUCUAAGCCCAUACACAGCCUCAAAAUAUUCUGGAAAAGAUCUAGGGAACACACAAAACACUUUCUGUUUCAGCAUGGAAGUGGAAUGUCCCCUCCAGGUCCUAACUUUAGGAUAACAGAAAAAAAAAAAAAAAAAAAAAAAAAAAAAAAAAAAAACAAAAAACAAAAAACAGGCUAGAGAGAGAGAGAGCGAGCAAAAUUUUGCACACUUUUAAAUCAGCCACCAAAAUUUUGGGAGAAAAUGAGAAAACCUCUGCAAUGUUUUGCUUUCCAUUAUAUGUAAUGCAAAGCAAAUGCAACUGAAGAAAUCACUGCUUGGGCUCCAGCCACAACUGAUGGUGGCCUCUGUCCCCAAGGGACUCCCCAGCCUUGCCCUGGGUGAAGGUUGGCCACCACUUGUCCCCACACAAGGUGAAAAAUCCAAUGACACGGCUCUGGUGGAGCUCAGGACUGUUUAACUUCCCACCUUGCACUUACUCAUUUCCACAGACCUUUCUGCCUCUCAGGGAAAUUCCCAUUUUCCGCUCCCCUCCUGCAGCAAACACAUCUCCAGCAGUGGCUCAGGACCCUGAUGGAUUUGGACUUUACACCCUGAACAGCCCCGAGGUCUCACAGCCAAGCACCCGUCCCCAACCUCCAGGCUCCCCUCUCUGCAGCUCUUCCCGCCUCACUCCUUGGAUUUCCUCCAUUUCUCCACUUCUUGCCCAAAAAUUACAUCAAGGCUUUGUUGCCUGAACUGAUGUUUCCACUCCAAGCCGUGGUGGAGCCCAAAGUCCCCCCAUCAGUGGUGGGGAAUUGCAUCCCUGGGGUGAGGGGCCGUGUCUGGAGAGCUGAACUGGGCACAGAUUUGUAGUGGGGACAACCCCCUGUGAGGUCCUGCAGCUUUGUCCAUGGCAAGCCCCUUCCCACCAGGAGACCUUUUAUUGCUCUGGGAAGAUCUGCUUGAGCUGACAAGAAGUCAGUGGGGCAGCUGGAGCAGGGAGAGAGGCCAAGGAGAUUGGGAAGGGAGGAGAGGAGCAGAGUAGGAGGAGGAAAGGUCCAGGCAACACCAGGAUCUCUUCAUGUCUUGGUGCAAGGACUUUCCUGCUGACAUGAAAACUGGCAGGUCUUUUGUGGUAAAUCAUCUCAAAACUGUGGCUUUUUGCCCAUUCUUCCCUAUCCUGUAAUUCCUGGAUCCCACAGUCUUUAUCCUUCCCCAGGACUUUGCCACCCUGCCCUGCCCUCUAUUCCUGCUCACAGAUUUUCCUUGAGUCUCAUCACUGAGUGUUGCCCCUGGCUAUUUGGAGAGCUUGAGAAAUUUCCUGCAUCAAAACCUCAUCCCACUUUGGCUUCCCAUCCUUUCUUUGACUCAUCCUUCACCUUCCCCACAUCCACAUCUCAGCUGUCCUCGAGCCCUUUCUCCCUCCUGCCUUCUUGGCCCUGUCCACCAGGUGCAAGGACACUUCUUUGUCCAAAUACCAUUUUUUACACUCAAUUUCUCCAGCCCACAAAGAAAACUGACAUCUCAAAAUAGGUUUGGAUUGGAGAAAGUAAAUUGAAUUAUCCUGCAGGCAGAUGAAAACACUCUGAGACAAGGGAUCCUCUUAUGUUUUUAUGAUCCAGGUCACUUCCAUCUUUGAGUCCUUAUUCCUGUUUUAUCUCCACCUGCUCAGCCGAGUUUUUUAAGCUGGAUCUGGAGCAGUUAUUCACUAAUUAUCCAUUUAGUGAUUAGCACACACGACCUCAGCCUUGUUCUGGUGACCCAGCUCCAUUUCAGGGCUCUUCCUCCUGCUCAGAGACCCCCUCUACCAGGGUAAAAUCUGGUGAAAUCCCCCAUUCUUGGCACUUCUAGACAAAAUUACUCCCAGUGAAACCCUGAAACUUUCCAUAUCUCAAAUUUUGUGAAGUGUUCCCUCAACACCUCACGUUGAGUCUUUGAUCACUUGGUUGUGUGCCCAAAACAGGACCUGACCUCAGGAAAACACAAAAUCUGCAGCUUUUGGAAUAUGUAGAGCACUUUAGGUGACCAGCACACAAAACAACAUGGUCAGUCUCAUAAAGGAGGAUUUGAAAUCAUCUUUCCAAGACAGGUGAUUCCCAGCAAUUAGGCAGGAGAGCUCCUGCAAACUAGGGUGAAUUUGGUUUAUCCUUGGAGGAAAUUGGAGGGGAAAUUCUCUCUAUUCUGAAAUAAUUGCAGUGAUUCAGAAAGCUUCUCUUUUCUACGAAUGAGCAGAUCAUUCUGAGGGCACAAGGCAAUCCUGACAGGCUGGGACAGCAGAUUUCCAGGGAAACUCUAUCCCAAGGCAUCAUCACCCAAUCCUGGUGUGCUGAACGAUGGGCUGGGGCAGAGGAGUGGGGAAUGCAACAUUUGGCAUUCAGAGAGCCUUCUGUGGGACAUACACACAUUAUUUUUUGUUUUUUUUCUGGUGGAUAUUUCAUAGAAGUCUCCAGAAGUUCCAUUGGCAAUAAUGAGCCUUUUCUAGCAAAUAAUCUGUGUCCACUGCACACUAAAGAUGAAUUUCACCAGCAAAACUUUGCCUGCUGUAGCUGCAUUCCAGGUGUGAUUCUCCUGAUUCAUAACCCACAGAAAUAUUUAUUUUAAUCCACUUAGAGCUUUUGCACCCCAUUACCCACACCAGCUUUGAGCACAUUUAGCACACAUUUUAUAGGAUAUAAAACAAUAUAUCUGGCAUUACUUGUUUUAAAGUGGUGCAGGCAUAUUGAUCCCCACAUGUAUCCUGAUGGAAAUUCUCUAUAAUCCCUUUUUUCCCCCUUUUCAGUGCUAAUAAUGUUACUGUAACAGUGACCAGCACAUAAAAUAAGUGUUCAGGGGCUGAUUCUGGCCCUGUUUUAUAUUAGAUAUUCCUCCACAGAAGUCAAAGGCAUGAGGUGAAGCCACUUUAGUGAGACCAAAGUCAAGCUUAAAGGGAAAUAUUUCCAACACAUUAAACCUAAACUGUGGAUUCUCAGAUUUUUAAUCUUUUUUUUUUUUUUUUUUUAAGUUAAAUAAGGACACAAGUGUUCUCAGAAACUUGUGUUUGUUGAGUUAGAAAAUGUAAGCAUUUCUAGAGAUGUGAAAAUGCCCAGGCAUCAGCAUUUUCAAUUAAAUGAGAAGCUGGUGAGAUCUGGUCAUGGGAUGCACUGACCUUAAAGUCUGUGGUCAAGCUGAACAUGUGCUUUGUUUUCGGAGGGGCUGUGAAACUAAAACCAUCAUAGGAAAAGAAAAUGGAAUCUGGAUAAAAAAGGGUGAAAUAGGCAGCUUGGGCUAAAUGAGGUAAAACAUAGGAUUUUAGGCUUUGACCCUUCCGUUUCUUACCAAAAAGAACCUGAAAGCACUUUUCAGAACAAAGCCACUGAAAGAAGUAUCAAAUUAUUACUAUUAUUUAACUGCUCAAAUUAUUCUAGAUCUUAGGAAUUGUCUUCUUCACUAAUUCUUUUCAUCCCCCCAAAAAACUAACACUAAGCACAACCCAAAUUCAUCAGAGUUCAUUACCUAACACUUCCUUUCCUCUUAGAAACUGAAUAUUGAUAAAUAAGCAUUAACUUUCUCUCCAUCUACAUGCAGAAGUAAAUCUAGGAAAUUUUAAUUAAGGUAUAAAGAAAACAGCUUCAAUCCUGCCAACUUUUAUUUGUGCUGAGCAUAGCCCCGAGGGGAAGGGGAUCAUGGUGAAAACCAGCUCCUGGUUGGUAGAUGGGAGGAGUAAAACCUGCAUGCCUCAGAUUAAAAGGGAAUAGAAAGUUUUAAUUGUGUUUAUCCUCAGCUCCAUCAUGGUUUGGGCAAUCUGCCAAAUCAAGGAGUGACUGCAGGGACUGUCCAGCACAGUUGGCAGGAUCAGUGUCCAAAGGGUGUCAAACAUCACCCAAAAAGAUGCUGCUGAGAUGAUUUUUGGCAGGGGAUGUGAGGAGCAAACAUCUCUACAAACGGGGUCCCCAACCAAGCCAAACAGAUUUACUAAUUCGCUUGAAAAUUCCAACACAAUGUUCCAGAAUUUUGAAGGAAUCUUGUUUUUUUCACCCCUCUAUGGCACAACUGACCACCCUGUCCUUUGUUUUAUUUAUCUUGUGAGUGGCCCAUCAUUUCAGGUGAGAAAUGAGGAGAGAAUUCGUUCUUUAGAAGAAUCAGAAAAUGUCAAGGAUCUUUGCCCCAAUGUGGGUGUUACACACCAGUAAUAGCAUUUUGCUAUUGUAAGGGAUUCUCUAGAAGGGAUUGUCUUUUGUCUUGUGCCUCAGCACUGAGAUGUAUCUUUACCACAAGAACUGACUAAACUUCUUUAUAUCUUCCCAAGUUUUAUGAUAAUAAAAAUGCAACUUAACGAAUGUGACCACUUUUUGAUGCCAGUCCCUUCCUAAAAUACUAAUCAUAAUUAAGAGUGACUAGUUCAUGCAGCCAGGCAGUGCUGAUGUAUAAGAAAUGAGUUUGAUUGUGUGUAAAUGUGUGAAUAAUCAUUAUUUUAUGCAGUUAGAGGUCCCUCAGCAGAGCAAAGCCAGGCCCAGACUUUCCCCUGGGAAUUUAGAGACACUUGCACUUCAUCAGGCAAAAACCACACACAAAAACACCUCAGCAUGUUGGGAAUUCCCUGCUCCAAAUUGCUCAGCUCCUGGCUGGCAGGCACAACCCAGCCAGGAAUUUCUGGCCAAAUGAGAGUCCGAGUGAAGGCAGCAGAGCCCUGGGCACCCCUAACCCAGUUCCAGCUGCAGCCUGGCUCUCCUCAUCUCCCAGCAGAGCAGCAGCAUCCCCUGGCUAUUUAUUGCUCAGCCUGGCUGAUGCUGUCUUCAAUUCCUCUGCUGCCAACAAUGCAGAUUCCUUUCUUUCCACCAGCAGAACUGACACACAUUCUCCCAUUUACCACAUUGUUACCAUAUUAUUUAUUAUUCUCAAAAUUUGUUUUGUUUUCCUGGCUUGAACUCAGAGUAUCACAUCUAAAUUGCUUCAGAAGAGGUUUCUGGGGAAGGGCUCUGUGGUCUGCACCAGGAAGGUUUUCAUUGGAAUACUCUGAGGAAGGAAAUUUUUUUUCCCUGCUUUCUACCCACCUGCAGAUCCCUGAGAGGUUUUGUUAGCAGCCUCUGUAGAUCAGCCAGGAGCUGAUUAGACAGUGGGAAUCAGGCUGCUUUCCCCUGUGCCACCAAAAAGAUGUUACUUCCUGUUAUGCUGGGUUUUUUACCCUUUUUAAUCCAAUAACUACCUCACAUUUAGCAAAAGCAAAACAGAAUUUUAUUAUUACUAUUUUCUCUUUUAACUUGAGCAGAGCAGAAUUCAAUUUCACUGCCAUUCUACUCCGUGCUUUGCACAUUUAGGGUAAUAACUUGAGAUUCUUCAUGGUCUAAACACACUGAGUGUGAGCACUGUGCUGCACUUUGGCUUCCUUUAAUCAUAUCAAAGGUGUCUGCUCUCAAUAAAUCCAGGCUCCCUCUCGAGAGUGGAGGGGGAGAAAAGCACAUCCCUGGAAAGCUGCACAUCCUAGGGAAGGUGGGGAUGGCUGAGGUGCUCCUCUGCCAGGCUGGAGAGGGAUUUUUGUGGUGUUUUUCUGGGUGAAGAUGACCCAAGCAGCUGGUGAAAGGGAAAACCCCACCGCUGUCACUGUGGGGUGGGUGGAUAAAUCUUUGGGGAGGGUUUAAUGCCAAAUACAGAUGUGGACAUGAAUCCUGAGGGGAGGGUGGCCUCACUGUCAUGCUGGAAUGUCACUGCAGGAAAUCCAUCCACAGGAGCUGGACAUUCCCAGCUCUCCUGCUGGCUGUGACCCAACCUCAGCUGGAUUGAUCCCUCUCAGCCCUGUCCCCUUUUCCCAGCUGGGGACAAGAUCCCAGGGAGCACAUCCAGCUUUGGGGUUUUCUCUGGCGAGGAUUUUAUCCCCGUGGGGGAUUCAGCAUGAGCUGAGACGAACUGGAAGUGAUUUUCCCUCCCAGGAAGGUCCAACCCUAUAAAAAAUCCCAGCUGAUGGGCAGGGAUGUGUUUCCCAUCCCCCUCAGCUUGUCCCCAAAGGAAAUGAGAGCUCCACUUCCACUCCUUGGUGAGUCCUGGUGCCAGCCCUGGGUGCAAUUCUCUCACAGAUUAUGAACUUUGCAGUGACACUUUCAAAUUCCCGUUUCCUGAUUGUUCAAUCCCUUGGAAAACACGAAAAUCAUUGUCUGGGAGAUCACAACCCAGUUUAUUAAGCGACAUAAGUGAGCAGUGUUCAGGUUUUUUGCUGAAUUAUGAACUAAAAUAGCUUUCCAGCUGCUCUCAUUCUUGCACAAAUCUCCUUGUGUUCUGCCAUUGAUUUUAGAGUUUUAUAUUAAAACGUCAAAAAAACGGCGCUGAAAAGGUUUGCUGCAUAUUUAUUGGUACUGUACAUAAAGAUGUCUUAAUUUUAUGGAAGAUAAAUUGUAAUAUUCAUGGUAUAAAGUUUAGAUCUAUUCUACUUGAUGCAAUUUCUUUGGGAAAUUAAAUUUACAGAUAGUUCUUUAAAAUGUUCUUUAUGUCUUAAAGCGAAAAAAUAAAAUUAA